rnacentral:rRNA from 1 species
UUCCGGUUGAUCCUGCCGGACCCGACUGCUAUUUGGGUGAGAAUAAGCCAUGCGAGUUGAAUGGGAUGCCUAAAGUUCCCAUAGCAAACUGCUCAGUAACACAUGAUCAACUUACCCUAUAGAGAAAAAUAACCUCGGGAAACUGAGGAUAAUGUUUCAUAAUUGAAUUGGCUUGGAAAAGUUUUUCAAUGAAAGGGAUAAAAAAAAUGGUUUUUAUCUGCUAUAGGAUAGGAUCGUGUUCGAUUAUGGUUGUUGGUGAGAUAAUGGCUCACCAAGCCGAUAAUCGAUAGGGGCCGUGAGAGCGGGAGCCCCGAGAUGGGUACUGAGACAACGACCCAGGCCUUACGAGGCGCAGCAGGCGCGGAACCUCCGCAAUACACGAAAGUGUGACGGGGUUACCCAAAGUGUUCAAUAGAACUGUGGUAGGUGAGUAAUGUCCCCUACUAGAAAGGAGAGGGCAAGGCUGGUGCCAGCCGCCGCGGUAAAACCAGCUCUUCAAGUGGUCGGGAUAAUUAUUGGGCUUAAAGUGUCCGUAGCCGGUUUAGCAAGUUCCUGGUAAAAUCGGGUAGCUUAACUAUCUGCAUGCUAGGAAUACUGCUAUACUAGAGGGCGGGAGAGGUCUGAGGUACUACAGGGGUAGGGGUGAAAUCUUAUAAUCCUUGUAGGACCACCAGUGGCGAAGGCGUCAGACUGGAACGCGCCUGACGGUGAGGGACGAAAGCCAGGGGAGCGAACCGGAUUAGAUACCCGGGUAGUCCUGGCCGUAAACGAUGCAUACUAGGUGAUGGUACGGCCAUGAGCCGUAUCAGUGCCGUAGGGAAACCGUUAAGUGUGCCGCCUGGGAAGUACGGUCGCAAGGCUAAAACUUAAAGGAAUUGGCGGGGGAGCACCACAAGGGGUGAAGCCUGCGGUUCAAUUGGAUUCAACGCCGGGAAUCACUAGUGCGGGCCGCCUGCAGGUCGACCAUAUGGGAGAGCUCCCAACGCGUUGGAUGCAUAGCUUGAGUAUUCUAUAGUGUCACUAAAUAGCUUGCGUAAUCAUGGUCAUAGCUGUUCCUGUGUGAAAUGUAUCCGCCUCACAUUCCACACAACAUACGAGCCCGGAGCAUAAAGUGUAAGCCUGAGUGCCUAAUGGAGGGAGCUUACUCCACAUAAUGGCGUGGCGCUCAUGCCGCUCCAGUCCGAAACCUGUCGUCCAGCUGCAUUAAUGGAAUCCGGCCCACACGCCUCCCGUGA